UCAGGCCUAACACAUGCAAGUCGUACGAGGUGUAAAUAAUUCACUUGUGAAUUGUUUAUUACUACAGUGGCGCACGGGUGAGUAACACGUAAGAACCUGCCUUUUGGAGGGGGAUAACAUAGGGAAACCUUUGCUAAUACCCCAUAGAGCUGAGGAGCUAAAUCGCAUUUGCGGCCAAGAGAGGGGCUUGCGCCUGAUUAGCUAGUUGGGGAGGUAAUGGCUUCCCAAGGCCACGAUCAGUAGUUGGUCUGAGAGGAUGAUCAGCCACACUGGGACUGAGACACGGCCCAGACUCCUACGGGAGGCAGCAGUGAGGAAUUUUCCGCAAUGGGCGAAAGCCUGACGGAGCAAUACCGCGUGAAGGAAGAGGGAUCGUGGUCUGUAAACUUCUUUUCUCGAGAAGAAGAU
rnacentral:rRNA from 1 species